GACACUUUUUUUAGCCCAAUGCUUCCGAACCAACAUGGGCCGAAGUUGUCGAUGGUGCUCGUGGCUCCCGUACAUCCGAGUCACCAAGGUGCCGACAAUGGGGAGCUCCCCUACAUGUCUGAAAUGGGGACAGUUUUUUUUGUGCCGCUUUAUUCCACUUAGUGACUUAGUGUUUUUAACUGAAAAUUUUGCUGUAGGCCCAAAACAAAUACAAGAAGCCGAAUGUUUGGUCCAUGAAACAUGGCACGAUGGCACGGUAGGGUAGAAAAUUGAACAAGUGCCCGGAGUCACCAACAGUGGGGAGCUGGAACCCGCACCAGCAAAGGCCCUCGUUCUACCAAGUUUCCUGAAGUGGGGUGGCACGGCCAGGUGUUUAACUAACUCCUUACACCAAGUCCCCCACCUAGGGACCCCAGGGUAGGGUCGUGCAAUAGAACUAGGGGUGAUGGGAUCGGCGAUAGGGGAGGGACGAAUUGAUGCGACAAAGGGCUGAAUCUUAGUGAAUCGUGGCAGCAAGGCCACUCUGCCACUUACAAUACCUCGUCGCGUAUUUAAGUCGUCUGCAAAGGAUUCUACCUGCCGCUCGGUGGGAAUUACGCUCCAGGGAGGCACCCGCGACUUGUCUGCCGCAGCCGCUGCACCUACGACACGUGCCCUAGGGGGCCAGAGGCCCCUACUGCGGGUCGGCAAUCGGGCGACGGGCGCGUGCGUCGCUUCUAGCCCGGAUUCUGACUUAGAGGCGUUCAGCCAUAAUUCAUGAAAGGUGUCCCUAAACGUGACGGGGGCGAAAGGGAAAGCCAAGCUCGAGCCCAUAGCAAUGCAUAAACCACCCCAAGAGAUCUUUGCCCGAAUAGGGAACUUGGUCCUGGAGUCUUUGGCUACAUUUCUAUGGGCACGGGCUUGACCGACCGGAAAAUUGUCACCCCGGCCACCACCGUUGGCGACUAACUCACCCCCGUGGUGAGUCGUUGCGGGACGACCCGACCCCCAUGGGGGGGCUAGACGCACACCACCUCGGCUCGGAGGGGGCACGCCGGGGGGCAGCGGAUCUCUACCCCUUAAAGAGCUAAAAAAACUUCGUCAGUAUGCUACCAGGAAACAUUCGACUGUCUGAAAGGGGGACACUCUUCUUUAGCCCGCACAUCCCAGGCACCAAGGUGCCGAUGGGUGCCCCAGGCUCCCGCACAUCCAAGCACCAAGUUACCGAUGGUGUCCGAGGCUCCCGCACAUCCUAGCCACCGAGGUGCCGAUACUGCCCGAGGCUCCCACACAUUCGAGCCACCAAGGUGCCGAUGGUGCCCGAGGCUCCCGCACGACCAAUGGCCGAGGUGUCGAUGGUGGCCGAGGCCCCCGCACGACCAAGGCAUAUUUUGCCGAUGGUGCCCAAGGCUUCCGCACGACCAAGGUCUUAGUUUACCGAUAGUGCCCGAGCCUCUCGCACGACCAAGGGCUUAGGUUGCCGAUGGUGCCCGAGGUUCCCACGCAUCCAAGCACGAAGGUGUCGAUGGUGCUCGAGGCUCCCGCACAACCAAGGGCGUAGGUUGCCGACAGUGCCUGAGGCUCCCGCACAUCAUAGCACCGAUGUGCCAAUGGUGCCCGAGGCUCCCGCAUGACCAAGGGCCUAAUUUGCCGAUAGUAUCCGAGGCUCCCGCACAUCCCAGCACCUAGGGGCCGAUGGUGGCCGAGGCUCCCGCACGACCAAGGGCCUAUUUUGCCGAUGGUGCCCGAGGCUCCCGCACAACCAAGGGCUUAGUUUGUCGAAGGUGCCCGAGCCUCUCGCACGACCAAGGGCCUAGGUUGCCGAUGGUGCCCGAGGUUCUCGCACAUCCAAGCACCAACGUGUCGAUGGUGCUCGAGGCUCCCGCACGACCAAGGGCCUAGGUUGCCGACAGUGUCUGAGGCUCCCACACAUCAUAGCACCGAGGUGCCGAUGCUGCCCGAGGCUCCCGCACAUCCGAGCCACCAAGGUGCCGAUGGUGCCCGAGGCUCCCGCACGACCAAUGGCCGAGGUGCCGAUUGUGGCCGGGGCCCCCGCACGACCAAGGGCCUAUUUUACCGAUGGUGCCCGAGGCUCCUGCACGACCAAGGGCUUAGUUUGCCGAUGGUGCCCGAGCCUCUCGCACGACCAAGGGCCUAGGUUGCCGAUGGUGCCCGAGGUUCCCGCGCAUCCGAGCACCAAGGUACCGAUGGUGCUCGAGGCUCCCACACGACCAAGGGCCUAGGUUGCCGACAGUGUCUGAGGCUCCCGCACAUCCGAGCGCCCAGGUGUCAAUGGUGCUCGAUGCUCUCGCCCGACCAAGGGCUUAGUUUGCUGAUGGUGUCCGGGGCUCCUGAACAUCCUAGCACCAAGGUGCCGAUGGUGCCCGAGGCUCCCGCACGACCAAGGGCCUAUGCUACCGGAACGGUUCACCGGAGCACCAAUAGGACGGUUCGCCGGAGCACCGCCAGGACGGAUCACCGGAGCACCCCGAGAACCUAACCGGCGGUGGGGGGCACCGAC
rnacentral:lncRNA from 1 species